CUCUAGAAGGCGCACAAUUGUAAAUUGUAUACAAGUCUGGUGCAACCUUGUUGUGGUUGUGUAAUCUCGAAUCAAAAUCACAAAAGAUGGGUAAACACAGUGAAGAGCCCAAGUAUGCUUAUCCCUAUCCCGCUCAUCAAGUUCCAGGAGCAAGUUAUUAUCAACACGGGCAUCCACCAACACCUCCGGUGAUGCCACCGCCGAUGUACAUGUCAGCUCCUCCUCCCAGGAAACGUUCCGGUCUUCUAGAGGGCUGUCUUGCAGCUCUAUGUUGCUGCUGCCUGGUGGACUCGUGCUGCGAUCCAGACCUUAUGUUCUUGAUGUAGCUCAGUGCAUAGCGCAUACUACACGUCUAUGCCCACUUUUCGACAAUUACACGUCCGUUAGUGAGCUUGGACGAUCAGGAAAAUGAUGUCUUGAAAGUAAAUAAAUGUUAUUUACUU